rnacentral:rRNA from 1 species
AGCAGCCGCGGUAAUUCCAGCUCCAAUAGCGUAUAUUAAAGUUGUUGCAGUUAAAAAAGCUCGUAGUUGAAUUUCGGGAUCAAAUUGUUGGUCGUGCCUCGGUACGCACUGGUAUUAUUGGUUCCUACCUUCUGAAGAACCGCGAUGUCAUUAAUUUGGUGUCGUGGGGAAUCAGGACUGUUACUUUGAAAAAAAUUAGAGUGUUUAAAGCAGGCUUACGCUUGAAUACAUUAGCAUGGAAUAAUGAAAUAGGACGUUUGAUUCUAUUUUGUUGGUUUCUAGGAUUGACGUAAUGAUUAAUAGGGAUAGUUGGGGGCAUUAGUAUUCAAUUGUCAGAGGUGAAAUUCUUGGAUUUAUUGAAGACUAACUACUGCGAAAGCAUUUGCCAAGGAUGUUUUCAUUAAUCAAGAACGAAAGUUAGGGGAUCGAAGACGAUCAGAUACCGUCGUAGUCUUAACCAUAAACUAUGCCGACUAGGGAUCGGAUGAUGUUAAUUUUUUUAAUGACUCAUUCGGCGCCU